rnacentral:rRNA from 1 species
GAUGAACGCUAGCGGCAGGCCUAACACAUGCAAGUCGAGGGGUAGCAGGAUUAAGCUUGCUUAAUUGCUGACGACCGGCGCACGGGUGCGUAACGCGUAUGCAACCUACCUUAUACUGGGGUAUAGCCCGGAGAAAUUCGGAUUAAUCCCCCAUAGUACUAAUGAAUCGCAUGGUUUAUUAGUUAAAGCAUUGCGGUAUAAGAUGGGCAUGCGUCCUAUUAGCUAGAUGGUGAGGUAACGGCUUACCAUGGCUACGAUAGGUAGGGGGCCUGAGAGGGUGGUCCCCCACACUGGUACUGAGACACGGACCAGACUCCUACGGGAGGCAGCAGUGGGGAAUAUUGGUCAAUGGGCGCAAGCUUGAACCAGCCAUGCCGCGUGCAGGAAGAAUGCCCUAUGGGUUGUAAACUGCUUUUAUUUGGGAAUAAACCUCUUUACGUGUAGAGAGCUGAAGGUACCAAAUGAAUAAGCACCGGCUAACUCCGUGCCAGCCGCCGCCGUAA